GUGUAGAGGUGACACCACCUCGGCCAUCACCAGCCCCAUGAAGGGACUUCUACCCAGCAGCCCCACUGGGUGGGAGCGCCCAUUUCUACUGCCCGCAUGUCUGUCUGUGCAGUUUAGGAAUGCCAGGGCUGGUGCUUAGGCUGGGCACACUGUGCGGGGGACAUGCCGCCCUGCUCCCUGUGCCUGGCACCUAGAAAUGAACACUUUACGGGAAUGGAACCCAGGGCACGACCAUCUCAGCCCGCGGAACGAUCCAGCCCAACUGGUGAGAACUCCCGCUCUUGGUGUUGGGGGCCAGGCAGGGUUCGUGGAGAGGGUCCUUAUAACCUGCUCAGCCCCCUAGCCAGAGCAAUCCUACACAUCGCUGAGCCCUCUUCGGGAUGAGAAUGCGCACCCUCAGCCCAGCCGUAUCCUCUGCCCCUGCCCCUGCCCCUACCCAGGGAGGGCAGUCCUGGGGGUCCCAGGGCAGGCAUGGACCAGGACUAGCGUUACCAGCACUGACCUGCCCAGUCCAUCCCCCAGCCCCAGCAAGGCUGGGUCCAGGGCUUCCACCCCUCCAUGCACAGCCCACGCCAGCUGGGUUCCACAGGAUCCUUUUAAAUCACAAUUCCAAAGCGGGCUGUCCACAGGCAAGGAAGCCAGGAGCCUGUUCACACAAAUGCUCGCUGUUCAGGGCAGGCUGCCCAAGUCACCCCUUCCUGGUGUCCCCAGACCUGGGCUACUAAGUCCUGGGGGUCCGGAAGGCAGGGUUAGUCCCAGGUAACCACAGGGACGCUCCAGGGAUCCCUGCUGAAGGACAAGGACCUUCUCCUCCUCCUCCUCUUCCUCCUCCUGCAUCUCAGCCUCCCCAGCAGCCACAGCCAAGAGCCCUGCCAAGCCGAUGGGACCCACGCAAUCAAUAAGCAGGUGAUAGCUUCUUCAGGUCACUCCUUUGGGUAGCAGGCAUGUAUCAGAUCUGGAGCUCCAUCACCCUGCUGGGAGUUCAGACAUCGUGUCUUAUAGCUACGUGGCACUCACAGGUUGUCCUUGUCCCGAAACAAAACAAAGUGAAGCAAUAACAACCCGCCAGACUCAUUUCCUGCUGUGGAACCUAAAAUCUCAACCAUUUAGUAACUCUUUGGGUUUCAAGAACUGUGGCCCUAGAAGGGUCCUGCCAGAGUGCAGUGAUGUUCCCCAUCACUAUGGUCGCUUGUGCCUCACCAGUGUCUCCAGUUCG
rnacentral:lncRNA from 1 species